rnacentral:misc_RNA from 1 species
GUUUCUUUGUCGGCAAUCCUCUGCUUUAGGAUUUCUCCAUACCCUUUGUCUGAAGCAUCUGUUUCUACUAUCUUAAAGGCUUUAGAGUUAGGUAAGGCUAGAAAGGGUAAGGUUUUGACCAUUUUUUUUAUUCUUUUGACAUCUAGAGUAUGCUCUGGGGUCCAUGAUGAUGAAUUAUUUUUUAACCUUUGAAAAAGUAAUUUGGCGUCUUGUGCUAAAUUUUCAUAAAAAUCAGCUACAUAAUUAAGACUGCCUACGAAUCUUUGCAACUGGGUUUUAUCUUUUAUUUCA